ACUGUCUAUCAAGUCGACGGUCCCGUGCGAACGGGUGAAAAGGGAAUGUCGUAUAACUCUGGCUGGGGCAAUUUCCCCGGGAGUUCAGUCGACAGCUGCCCCCGCAACUGUAGACGGCGAGCAUUGUGUCCUCAGCUACCAGAUUGGGUAGCAGCCACUGACUUCGGUUGGGAAGGCGGAUGCAACGUGGUGACCCGUGAGUCAGGAGACCUACCGUCGAGUUCAGAUAUGU
rfam:Gluconacetobacter sp. SXCC-1 Contig2906, whole genome shotgun sequence.